CCGGCUAACUUCGUGCCAGCAGCCGCGGUAAUACGAGGGGGGCAAGCGUUGUUCGGANUUAUUGGGCGUAAAGGGNGCGUAGGCGGUUNGANAAGUCUNNUGUGAAAUCUUCGGGCUCAACCCGAAGUCUGCANNAGAAGCUAUCCGGCUNGAGUAUNGGAGAGGUGAGUGGAAUUUCUGGUGUAGCGGUGAAAUGCGUAGAUAUCAGAAGGAACACCUGUGGCGAAAGCGGCUCACUGGACCANAACUGACGCUGAGGCNCGAAAGCUAGGGGAGCAAACAGGAUUAGAUACCCUGGUAGUCCUAGCCCUAAACGAUGAUCGCUUGGUGUGACGGGUACCCAAUCCCGCCGUGCCGAAGCUAACGCGUUAAGCGAUCCGCCUGGGGAGUACGGUCGCAAGGCUGAAACUCNAAGGAAUUGACGGGGGCCCGCACAAGCGGUGGAGCAUGUGGUUUAAUUCGACGCAACGCGAAGAACCUUACCUGGGCUCGAAAUGGNCAGGACUCCAGCAGAAAUAUUCCUUGNCNCGCAAGNGNCANNUAUAUAG
rnacentral:rRNA from 1 species